rnacentral:rRNA from 1 species
UACGGGGGGGGCAAGCGUUGUUCGGAAUUACUGGGCGUAAAGGGCGCGCAGGCGGCCUACUAAGUCGGACGUGAAAUCCCUCGGCUCAACCGGGGAACUGCGUCCGAUACUGGUGGGCUUGAAUCCGGGAGAGGGAUGUGGAAUUCCAGGUGUAGCGGUGAAAUGCGUAGAUAUCUGGAGGAACACCGGUGGCGAAGGCGGCAUCCUGGACCGGUAUUGACGCUGAUGCGCGAAAGCCAGGGGAGCAAACGGG